AUUGAACGCUUGCGGCAGGCCUAACACAUGCUAGUCGCGCGAGCGGCGGACGGUAGAGUAAUGUAUGGGGCUCGACCCGAUAUGGGGGGUUAACUACUGGCAACGGUAGCUAAUACCGCAUACUAUCGGCUGAACCCAUAUGGGCUUAGCUAGUAGGUGAGGGAAUGGCGCACCUAGGCGACGAUCCCUAGCUGGUCUGAGAGGAUGAUCAGCCACACUGGAACUGAGACACGGUCCAGACUCCUACGGGAGGCAGCAGUGGGGAAUAUUGCACAAUGGGCGCAAGCCUGAUGCAGCCAUGCCGCGUGGAUGAAGAAGGCCUCCGGGUUGUACAGUACUUUCAGCGGGGAGGCGUUACCCGCAGAAGAAGCACCGGCUAACUCCGUGCCAGCAGCCGCGGUAAUAC
rnacentral:rRNA from 1 species